AGCAGUCGCCACGGUAAUACGUAGGUGGCAAGCGUUGUCCGGAAUUAUUGGGCGUAAAGCGCGCGCAGGCGGAUAGGUCAGUCUGUCUUAAAAGUUCGGGGCUUAACCCCGUGAUGGGAUGGAAACUGCCAACCUAGAGUAUCGGAGAGGAAAGUGGAAUUCCUAGUGUAGCGGUGAAAUGCGUAGAGAUUAGGAGGAACACCAGUGGCGAAGGCGACUUUCUGGACGAAAACUGACGCUGAGGCGCGAAAGCCAGGGGAGCGAACGGGAUUAGAUACCCGCGUAGUCCCUGUCUCUUAUACA
rnacentral:rRNA from 1 species